rnacentral:rRNA from 1 species
UUGGAUUCCUGGCCUGGGGUAGCCGGUCCGCCUUGCAAAAGGUGCGCACUGAGCGGCCUCGGCCAUCCUUGGGAAGAGCAGUCCUGGCAUUCAGUUGUCGGGGUUGGGAUUCCCGACGUUUACUGUGAAAAAAUCAGAGUGUUCAACGCAGGCUUACGCCUUGAAUACAUUAGCAUGGAAUAAUGAGAUAGGACCUUGGCGGUCUAUUUUGUUGGUUUGCACGCCGAGGUAAUGAUUAAAAGGGACGGUUGGGGUUCUUCGUAUUCAAUUGUCAGAGGUGAAAUUCUUGGAUUUAUGGAAGACGAACUGCUGCGAAAGCGUCGAACAAGGACGUUCUCAUUAAUCAAGAACGAAAGUUAGGGGAUCGAAGAUGAUUAGAUACCAUCGUAGUCUUAACCAUAAACUAUGCCGAUUCAGGAUUGGCGGUCGUUUGUUCUCGACUCCGUCGCACUGUAUGAGAAAUCAAAUCUUUGGGUUCCGGGGGGAGUAUGGUC